AAAGGUAAGGGUGCCAUGGGUUUCCGUGAUCUCAGGCUUUUUAAUCAAGCUCUUUUGGCCAAGCAGGCAUGGCGGUUGUUGGUUUACCCGGAUUCGCUAUGUGCGAAGUUGAUAAAGGCAAAGUAUUACCCUCAGGAACAUAUUCUUGAUGCAGUGUUUACGCAUGCUAGUUCUGUGACUUGGCAAGGUAUUUCACGUGGUCUGGAACUUCUUAAGAGGGGGAUCAUUUGGAGGGUAUGUGAUGGAUCUAGUAUUAAUAUAUGGAGGGAUAAUUGGAUACCUAGGAUGCAUGGCCUAAAAAUCUCAGCUAGAAGGCAUAAUACCAGGUUGAUAUUGGUAUAUGAUUUAUUCAUGUGCGGCUGCAAGGGUUGGGAUGAAAAUUUGAUCAAGUAUCUAUUCUAUCCACAUGAUGCGGAGGAAAUUCUUAAGAUUCGUAUUCAGACCUUUAGGGAUGGGGAUUUUGUUGCGUGGCACCAUGAGAAGAAUGUAUAUUUUCUGCUAAAGUGCGUACAAUUUUGCGCUUAA
rnacentral:rRNA from 1 species